AAGAAGGAAACAUUACUUGGGCUUUUAAGAUCCGGUUGCGAUUCUAGUUCUUAUACUCAAUCAUACACAUGACAUCUAGUCAUAUUUGACUACAAAAAUCUAACAAAGCUUCUUCUUGCUUCUCAUAGCUUUGAUUGUGUAGCCGAAGUCCGUAUGAGUCUUUGGCUUUCUAUCUUCUAACAAGGAAACACUACUUAGGCUUUCAUGAUCCGGUUGCGGUUCUAUGUCUUAUACUUAAUCAUACACAUGACGUCAAGUCAUAUUUGACUCCAAAACAC
rnacentral:sRNA from 1 species